rnacentral:tRNA from 1 species
GCGGACGUGGCGGAACUGGCAGACGCACCAGGUUUAGGUCCUGGCGCCGAGAGGCGUGCGGGUUCGACUCCCGCCGUCCGCA